rnacentral:tRNA from 1 species
AUGGGCCAGAACGGCAGAGAAAAGCAAGAUGGGUAAGCGCUUAGGUGCGAAACAAUGCCUAACGCGCAAAAUCAACAGAUCACGCGGGCAACUGAUUUGUAAUCAGUGGGUCGGGAGUUCGAGUCUCUCUGGGGGCACCA